rnacentral:lncRNA from 1 species
AUGCACCAUGCCCCUGCUGCCAGGGUGCCCCAUCCCCAUGCCCUCCCCCACCCCACUUGGCAUGAGGGAGCCCCGGCAAGAUGCAGCCGGAUUUCCCCACUGGGACAUCCCAUUGGCACCUCCAGGGCUGGGACACCACCAGGGCACGGGCAUCCCAUGCACGACUGCUCGCAAUGGGCUGUGCCCGGCAGCGUGACACCCCAUUCCCGUGCCCACCCCGUCAGUGCCACCGACCUGUCCCUGCUCCUCUCUCCCGUUGUCCCCGCUGGCCUGGGAUCCGGAGGCAGGGGAGGGCUGGGGGCUGCGUGGCUGUGCCAGCGUCACCGCCCGGUGCCCACCACUGUGGUGCAGCCCGGGGGGAACGGCGGGGAGCGAGCGGGGCCGAGCGGGGAGGAGGAGGCGGGCGAUGGCUGCCGGCCGCCCCGCCGGUGCCAGGAAUCCGCCGCUGGCUCCGCGCACCCGGAGCUCGUCACAGUCUCCUGGCUCAGCCGCGGGGAUGUGGGGAAGCAACAGGGGAAGCUCCCUCCCCUUUCCUGGGAAGGAAGGAAAGCUGGGAGAGCCAUGGCCUUGGCAAGGGGGAAACUGAGGCAUGGUGAGGGCAUGGGGGCAGCGAGGUGUCACUGCCGCAACAGGGGCACAUGGGAUGGAAGGAAACGGGCAUGGGAUGAGAUAAGAUGCACACGGGCAUCCCUACCCCACAGCCCAGCACGGCCCUGGAAAGUCCUGGAAGUGCCCCCCAGGAGUCUCUGUGCUUUUGGGGUGGGAAGGGGUCCCAGCGCCGCCAGCUGGUUCCCGGCGCCUGCACAUGCACUGGGAGUGCCUGGCACAAAGGCAGCUCUGAGGCGCCCCGCAGCCUGGCCUGGCGCCGGCACAGCCCCAACGGGACAGGGCUGCCGGCUGCGGGCAGCUGGAGCUGCAUGGGGACAGAGCCGGGCAGCCACGGCCACUCUGUGCCACCCCACAAGCUGGAGCAGGUGCCCGGCGCCGUGGCGUGGGUGUGCCGGGAGCACAGCAGGGUGGGCACGCUGA